rnacentral:rRNA from 1 species
UUAUUAUAAGUAAAAUCUGCUCCUGUACAAUAAAUAGCCGCAGAAUAUUAACUGUGCUAAGGUAGCAUAAUCAUUUACCUUCUAAUUAAAGGUUUGUAUGAAAGAUUACACAAUUAAAUUACUUUUUUAUUAAUUUACCCUAAACUUAAAUUAAACAUAAAAAUGUUUUUAUACAAAAAAAAGACGAUAAGACCCUAUUGAACUUAACUUACGUUUAGCUGGGGAAGCUAAUUAAAUAUAAUUUUAAUUCUAACUUUUCCAAUAAUUCCUAAAACAAUUAUCACAACAAGUUACCAUAGGGAUAACAGCGUAAUAUAACUUAAAAGCUCAUAUUAAAAGUUAAGCUUACGACCUCGAUGUUGAAUUAGAAUAGCUCUAAAACGCAAUAGUUUUAAUAGCAGGUCUGUUCGACCUUUAAUAAUCUACA